GGUUGCAGUCACAAAGUAAUUGACAGAACAAAAUGUAAAUUUCAGCAUAUUUUUUCACACAAAAAUGUGUUAGUGCGUAGAAAUGUGAUCAGGCUGAGCACAUGGCCUUAUGGAUUUCAUGAUUUUCGGCGCUUAACGUGAAAACAGUUAAAGCACAGGAUUCACAAACAUUAACUUUAUGCUUAAAUCUAUAUGCGAUACAUUAUGCAUAUAAUUAUAAUUCACGAUAAUAUCGCAUAUGGAAGUAACUGGAAUAAAUUUGGACUAUUUCCUUCGGAAGUUUACAGGACUGUCCUGUCAAAAGGCCUCCCUCGUGUUUACAUAUUUUGACAGGUCGAGUUGUUCUGGGACUAGGAACAAUGAUGAAGAUAUUAAUUUAUUCAAAGAAAUAAUGGGACAAUGAAUGCUAAAUUUGCCAAGAAGAAGACUGCCAAUUUACACACCAUUUUAUACAGUUACAGUAUGAUAUGGUGAACAAAAUGCCUCAAUGCAGCCAGUUCUGGAGCUUUGGCUAGACUAUGAACAGUAGACAUCAAAAGAUGAUCAUCUGAAGGGCCACAAUUGUUUAAAGCACUGGUCAACAAAAACUGAACUAUUUGAUGGAUCAUACAUCUGCAGAAUGUACUACCAUAUUUCCAGAAUCAGAGAAAUAGAAAUAUCAAGUAUUAGAGAGAAAGAAAAGUAUGCAUCAUGUAUGAAGAACUGCCUAAGAAUAAUUUGCAAAAUACAUUGAAAUCUAACAAUUGCUAAUUGCAUAAGGAAGUUAAGAAAGGUGUACUCUUCUGGAAAAUAUGUGUCCAGUGCAACAUUUCUUUUCCAAUUUUGUGAGCAUAAUU